GGGUUGUGAGGUUAAGCGACUAAGCGUACACGGUGGAUGCCCUGGCAGUCAGAGGCGAUGAAGGGCGUGCUAAUCUGCGAUAAGCGCCGGUAAGGUGAUAUGAACCGUUAUAACCGGCGAUACCCGAAUGGGGAAACCCAGUGUGACUCGUCACACUAUCAUUAACUGAAUCCAUAGGUUAAUGAGGCGAACCGGGGGAACUGAAACAUCUAAGUACCCCGAGGAAAAGAAAUCAACCGAGAUUCCCCCAGUAGCGGCGAGCGAACGGGGAGGAGCCCAGAGCCUGAAUCAGCAUGUGUGUUAGUGGAAGCGUCUGGAAAGGCGCGCGAUACAGGGUGACAGCCCCGUACACAAAAGCGCAUGUGCUGUGAGCUCGAUGAGUAGGGCGGGACACGUGGUAUCCUGUCUGAAUAUGGGGGGACCAUCCUCCAAGGCUAAAUACUCCUGACUGACCGAUAGUGAACCAGUACCGUGAGGGAAAGGCGAAAAGAACCCCGGCGAGGGGAGUGAAAAAGAACCUGAAACCGUGUACGUACAAGCAGUGGGAGCACAGGUUUACCUGUGUGACUGCGUACCUUUUGUAUAAUGGGUCAGCGACUUAUAUUCUGUAGCAAGGUUAACCGAAUAGGGGAGCCGGAGGGAAACCGAGUCUUAACCGGGCGUUAAGUUGCAGGGUAUAGACCCGAAACCCGGUGAUCUAGCCAUGGGCAGGUUGAAGGUUGGGUAACACUAACUGGAGGACCGAACCGACUAAUGUUGAAAAAUUAGCGGAUGACCUGUGGCUGGGGGUGAAAGGCCAAUCAAACCGGGAGAUAGCUGGUUCUCCCCGAAAGCUAUUUAGGUAGCGCCUCGUGAAUUCAUCUCCGGGGUAGAGCACUGUUUCGGCUAGGGGGCCAUCCCGGCUUACCAACCCGAUGCAAACUGCGAAUACCGGAGAAUGUUAUCACGGGAGACACACGGCGGGUGCUAACGUCCGUCGUGAAGAGGGAAACAACCCAGACCGCCAGCUAAGGUCCCAAAGUCAUGGUUAAGUGGGAAACGAUGUGGGAAGGCCCAGACAGCCAGGAUGUUGGCUUAGAAGCAGCCAUCAUUUAAAGAAAGCGUAAUAGCUCACUGGUCGAGUCGGCCUGCGCGGAAGAUGUAACGGGGCUAAACCAUGCACCGAAGCUGCGGCAGCGAACGUAUCACUUAAAGCGAUUCAGCGGGUUACGAUUGACGGAGCGAAGCGACGUCAAAGCGUAUACAAAGUCGAGUCGGUUUAAGGAUACGUUCGUUGGGUAGGGGAGCGUUCUGUAAGCCUGUGAAGGUGUGUCGUGAGGCAUGCUGGAGGUAUCAGAAGUGCGAAUGCUGACAUAAGUAACGAUAAAGCGGGUGAAAAGCCCGCUCGCCGGAAGACCAAGGGUUCCUGUCCAACGUUAAUCGGGGCAGGGUGAGUCGACCCCUAAGGCGAGGCCGAAAGGCGUAGUCGAUGGGAAACGGGUUAAUAUUCCCGUACUUGGUGUUACUGCGAAGGGGGACGGAGAAGGCUAUGUUGGCCGGGCGACGGUUGUCCCGGUUUAAGCGUGUAGGCUGGUUUUCCAGGCAAAUCCGGAAAAUCAAGGCUGAGGCGUGAUGACGAGGCACUACGGUGCUGAAGCAACAAAUGCCCUGCUUCCAGGAAAAGCCUCUAAGCAUCAGGUAACAUCAAAUCGUACCCCAAACCGACACAGGUGGUCAGGUAGAGAAUACCAAGGCGCUUGAGAGAACUCGGGUGAAGGAACUAGGCAAAAUGGUGCCGUAACUUCGGGAGAAGGCACGCUGACACGUAGGUGAAGUGAUUUACUCAUGGAGCUGAAGUCAGUCGAAGAUACCAGCUGGCUGCAACUGUUUAUUAAAAACACAGCACUGUGCAAACACGAAAGUGGACGUAUACGGUGUGACGCCUGCCCGGUGCCGGAAGGUUAAUUGAUGGGGUCAGCGCAAGCGAAGCUCCUGAUCGAAGCCCCGGUAAACGGCGGCCGUAACUAUAACGGUCCUAAGGUAGCGAAAUUCCUUGUCGGGUAAGUUCCGACCUGCACGAAUGGCGUAAUGAUGGCCAGGCUGUCUCCACCCGAGACUCAGUGAAAUUGAACUCGCUGUGAAGAUGCAGUGUACCCGCGGCAAGACGGAAAGACCCCGUGAACCUUUACUAUAGCUUGACACUGAACAUUGAGCCUUGAUGUGUAGGAUAGGUGGGAGGCUUUGAAGCGUGGACGCCAGUCUGCGUGGAGCCGACCUUGAAAUACCACCCUUUAAUGUUUGAUGUUCUAACGUGGACCCGUGAUCCGGGUUGCGGACAGUGUCUGGUGGGUAGUUUGACUGGGGCGGUCUCCUCCUAAAGAGUAACGGAGGAGCACGAAGGUUGGCUAAUCCUGGUCGGACAUCAGGAGGUUAGUGCAAUGGCAUAAGCCAGCUUGACUGCGAGCGUGACGGCGCGAGCAGGUGCGAAAGCAGGUCAUAGUGAUCCGGUGGUUCUGAAUGGAAGGGCCAUCGCUCAACGGAUAAAAGGUACUCCGGGGAUAACAGGCUGAUACCGCCCAAGAGUUCAUAUCGACGGCGGUGUUUGGCACCUCGAUGUCGGCUCAUCACAUCCUGGGGCUGAAGUAGGUCCCAAGGGUAUGGCUGUUCGCCAUUUAAAGUGGUACGCGAGCUGGGUUUAGAACGUCGUGAGACAGUUCGGUCCCUAUCUGCCGUGGGCGCUGGAGAACUGAGGGGGGCUGCUCCUAGUACGAGAGGACCGGAGUGGACGCAUCACUGGUGUUCGGGUUGUCAUGCCAAUGGCACUGCCCGGUAGCUAAAUGCGGAAGAGAUAAGUGCUGAAAGCAUCUAAGCACGAAACUUGCCCCGAGAUGAGUUCUCCCUGAGACUUAAAGUCUCCUGAAGGAACGUUGAAGACGACGACGUUGAUAGGCCGGGUGUGUAAGCGCAGCGAUGCGUUGAGCUAACCGGUACUAAUGAACCGUGAGGCUUAACCUUACAACGCCGAAG
rnacentral:rRNA from 1 species